ensembl:lncRNA
CAAUCCUGACUUAUGCCUGACAGUAUGUGUCAGCUUUCCAGUUGAAGAUUGUAGAAAAGGCCUCGCUAAGGAAACCUGGAAGUGAGGAUGCCCUGGAAGAGUACAAGUCAGAAAAUACGUUGAAGCACAGCACCCGGAGACACCUUGUUAACAUUCUGGCUAGCCAUAUGACUGAAAUGCAUGGGAGGAUUGUUUCACGUCAGCAAAAAGAGAAGUAUGCACUGGGAAUCAUUACACUCAUUCCCUCGCUGAAGGAUCCUUUUUCUCCAAAGGGAUAUGCAAGUUUUUUUUUAAAAAAGGAGCACUUCUAUGAUGGGGGGAAAAACACAGGAUAUUUAUCAUGGCGCCUGAGGACCAUGUCCAGGAAGAACCGGGCGACGAGCAGUCCACAGGCAGCCACAGUGCCUCAACUACAAGGACCAAAGCGCCAAAGACCAGCCGCCACAGAGCCUCAGCAGCUUGAUGGAGAUGCUUGCAGGGAGGCUGGGACAGUGACAUGGCUUCUCUGCUGCUGCUCCUUCAUCUCUUGCCACCCACAGCUGGACGGAAGAAGAGCAAAAUCAGUGCCAGUGAUGCAGUGGAAAAAAUGGUUCAUUUUCACAAGUCGUGCUGCAGUAUUGAUGAACACCUGCGUGGGAGAAAGGGUCAACAACCGUACAUCCUUGCUGCUGGUCGCACCCAGAACAAGAUUGACACCUUCUAUAUCGUCGUUGACAAACAGUUCAUCCCCUGCCAUGCCACCAGCUUCUAAGGUGCUUUUGAUGAACUUUUCAAAUCACACUACGUGUUCAACCUGUCAUACGAGGAGUCCCUGGUCCAGCUCUACACAUUUGUGCAGACAACAGUACUCUACAACAUCGAUGUCACAACAACAGACGAGUCUCUUGAAGAAUCCGUGAGUUGCGGGCAAAACUCCUGAACUAGGAUUAAAACAUGUUUAAGUGUUUCAUAUGUGAAGCUGUACACCAGACUGUCCAGUCCUUGGUAACCCAUUUAAGAAUUGAUCACAGUUUCUAUCCUAGCAGCAGUUUUAAGUUGGUUUGUGCACAAGAUCGUUGUAGGCGUCAGUUUUUGUCAUAUUCUAGUUUAAAAAAACAUUUAAUGAGAGUUCAUGAGGAGAGUUUUGUCAAAGUGGUGUUGCAGCAAACCCGGAGUCCUUUCAACCUAUCUAUCAGUGUCCAAAGUACUUCAGAAGUUGGUGAAACAGGUGUCCCACAGAGCUUAAAGGCUGG